UACGUAGGUGGCAAGCGUUGUCCGGAUUUAUUGGGUUUAAAGGGUGCGUAGGCGGUUCUUUAAGUCAGCGGUGAAAUACGACAGCUUAACUGUCGAGGUGCCAUUGAUACUGGAGGACUUGAGUACUGAUGAGGUAGGCGGAAUGGACGGUGUAGCGGUGAAAUGCUUAGAUAUCGUCCAGAACACCGAUAGCGAAGGCAGCUUACUAAGGAGUAACUGACGCUGAGGCACGAAAGUGUGGGGAUCAAACAGG
rnacentral:rRNA from 1 species